rnacentral:rRNA from 1 species
ACAUGCCAACAAUAUAUCAUUAAUGCACCAGAUCCCAUUAGAACUCUGCAGUUAAGCACACUCAGGAUAGAGUAGUACUAGGAUGGGUGACUGCCCGGGAAGUCCUAGUGUUUUACAUGCC